rnacentral:rRNA from 1 species
CCUACGGGAGUCAGCAGUGAGGAAUAUUGGUCAAUGGGCGUAAGCCUGAACCAGCCAAGUCGCGUGAGGGAUGAAGGUUCUCUGGAUCGUAAACCUCUUUUGUAAGGGAAUAAAGUGCGGGACGUGUAACGUUUUGUAUGUACCUUAUGAAUAGAGAAAGGAUAACCCUGUGCCAGCCGCCGAGGUAAUGCGGAGGCUCAGAGUGUUAUCCGGAUUUACUUGGUUUAAAGGGUUCGUAGGAGGCCUUGUAAGUCAGCGGUGAAAGUCUGUGGCUCAACCAUAGAAUUGCCGUUGAAACUGGGAGGCUUGAGUAUGUUAGAGGCAGGCGGAAGGCGUGGUGUAGCGGUGAAAUGCUUAGAUAUCACGCAGAACCCCGAUUGCGAAGGCAGCCUGCCGGGCCAUGACUGACGCUGAUGCACGAAAGCGUGGGGAUCAAACAGGAUUAGAUACCCGGGUAGUC